rnacentral:rRNA from 1 species
UACGUAGGGGGCAAGCGUUGUCCGGAAUUAUUGGGCGUAAAGAGCGUGUAGGCGGUCCGGUAAGUCAGCUGUGAAAGUCAAGGGCUCAACCCUUGAAUGCCGGUUGAUACUGUCGGGCUAGAGUCCGGAAGAGGCGAGUGGAAUUCCCGGUGUAGCGGUGAAAUGCGCAGAUAUCGGGAGGAACGCCAAUGGCGAAGGCAGCUCGCUGGGACGGUACUGACGCUGAGACGCGAAAGCGUGGGGAGCAAACAGG